rnacentral:RNase_P_RNA from 1 species
UGUAAGAGACUACCGCUGCUCCGGUAACGGAGGAGGCUGUGUAAACCCCACUCGCAGCAAGACCGAACAGGGAACGAUACGGCUGCCCGUCGUGUUCCCGGGUUGGUCGCGUUCCGCACCUGUAAGGGUACGGAGGAGUUGCGCGGUGACGCGUAACCAAGAAAGAUGAUCAUCCUCGACAGAACCCGGCUUACAGCAUCACUCGAUUU